rnacentral:misc_RNA from 1 species
GAAAUGCGAUAAGUAGUGUGAAUUGCAGAAUUCAGUGAAUCAUCGAAUCUUUGAACGCACAUUGCGCCCCUUGGUAUUCCAUGGGGCAUGCCUGUUCGAGCGUCAUUUGUACCCUCAAGCUCUGCUUGGUGUUGGGUGUUUGUCCCCGUCUCCGCGCGUGGACUCGCCCCAAAGUGAUUGGCAGCCGGCGUACUGGUCCCGGAGCGCAGCACAUGUCGCGCAAACGAGUGCCUUGGUACGGCGGCGUCCAUAAGCCCCUCUGUCACGCUCUUGACCUCGGAUCAGGUAGGGAUACCCGCUGAACUUAAGC